GUGCCAGCAGCCGCGGUAAUACGGAGGGGGCUAGCGUUGUUCGGAAUUACUGGGCGUAAAGCGCACGUAGGCGGAUCGGAAAGUUGGGGGUGAAAUCCNCGGGGCUCAACCCCGGAACGGCCUUCAAAACUACUGGUCUUGAGUUCGAGAGAGGUGAGUGGAAUUCCGAGUGUAGAGGUGAAAUUCGUAGAUAUUCGGAGGAACACCAGUGGCGAAGGCGGCUCACUGGCUCGAUACUGACGCUGAGGUGCGAAAGCGUGGGGAGCAAACAGGAUUAGAUA
rnacentral:rRNA from 1 species